UACGUAGGUGGCAAGCGUUGUCCGGAUUUAUUGGGUUUAAAGGGUGCGUAGGCGGCUUGAUAAGUCAGUGGAUUGAAAGCCGAUCGCUUAACGAUCGAAUUGCCAUUGAUACUGCCAGGCUUGAGUACAGUUGAGGUAGGCGGAAUUGACAGUGUAGCGGUGAAAUGCAUAGAUAUUGUCAAGAACACCAAUUGCGAAAGGCAGC
rnacentral:rRNA from 1 species